rnacentral:rRNA from 1 species
AACGAACGCUGGCGGCAUGCCUAACACAUGCAAGUCGAACGAGACCUUCGGGUCUAGUGGCGCACGGGUGCGUCACGCGUGGGAACCUGCCCUUAGGUUCGGACUAACUCCCCGAAAGGGGUGCUAAUACCGGAUACUGUCUUCGGACCAAAGAUUUAUCGCCUUUGGAUGGGCCCGCGUUGGAUUAGCUAGUUGGUAGGGUAAAAGCCUACCAAGGCGACGAUACAUAGCUGGUCUGAGAGGAUGAUCAGCCACACUGGGACUGGGACACGGCCCAGACUCCUACGGGAGGCAGCAGUGGGGAAUAUUGGACAAUGGGCGAAAGCCUGAUCCAGCAAUGCCGCGUGAGUGAUGAAGGCCUUAGGGUUGUAAAGCUCUUUUACCCGGGAUGAUAAUGACAGUACCGGGAGAAUAAGCUCCGGCUAACUCCGUG